UUUGCAUAAUGCCAGGCUAUGCUCUUCAUUGGCUGAACGUGAACAACAUCUACUUUGACCUUCAAACACUGUAGUUCAGAUAUGAUAAUGAAUGUUUGGUUUCCGACAAGUGCUGUAAGCUGUCGACCAAUCACAACAGAUUGGCAGAGUAGACCAAUCACAACAGACUGGGCCAUCUGACCAAUCAGAGCAGAGUAGACUCUUAGAAAGGAGAGGUUUAAAGAGACUGAAUCCUUUAUCGAACCAUUGCAGACAUUGUGAAAAAAGAGCUGGUACUGAAAUGUAUAUUAUGAGAAAAUGAAAGAUUAAAGUGUUUUUGACCUUGGAUGCAUGUAAACCUGUUGUAGGAGACGUCCAAAACAAGACUAAGAACCUUUAAAAGAACACAACAGGGGCACUUUAAAGGCACUGCUUUUGCUGUUCUGCCCUACACACAACACAACACAACACAACACAACAUAAACAUUCCCAAAAAAAUCGACAUCAUCCAUUAAAUGUUCUGUACCACACCAUGUCUGAUGCUAUAACUUCAAGCCAAACACCGGUGCCUUCAACUGCAAACAGCAAUAACGUCCUAAAG